rnacentral:rRNA from 1 species
AGUGAACGCUGGCGGUAGGCCUAACACAUGCAAGUCGAACGGCAGCACAGUAAGAGCUUGCUCUUACGGGUGGCGAGUGGCGGACGGGUGAGGAAUACAUCGGAAUCUACUUUUUCGUGGGGGAUAACGUAGGGAAACUUACGCUAAUACCGCAUACGACCUACGGGUGAAAGCAGGGGAUCUUCGGACCUUGCGCGAUUGAAUGAGCCGAUGUCGGAUUAGCUAGUUGGCGGGGUAAAGGCCCACCAAGGCGACGAUCCGUAGCUGGUCUGAGAGGAUGAUCAGCCACACUGGAACUGAGACACGGUCCAGACUCCUACGGGAGGCAGCAGUGGGGAAUAUUGGACAAUGGGCGCAAGCCUGAUCCAGCCAUACCGCGGGGGUGAAGAAGGCCUUCGGGUUGUAAAGCCCUUUUGUUGGGAAAGAAAAGCAGCAGGUUAAUACCCCGCUGUUCUGACGGGACCCAAAGAAUAAGCACCGGCGAACUGCGU